GGCGAGCCGGCACGACCUGGAGGCGUACCUGCACCUCAUCGACGGGUUCACCGCGACGGGGCACCCGUUCCGGUACGACGCGCGGCGCAGCGUGAUACGCCUGCUGCAGCUGCAGAAGGGGAACGUGAAGAAGGAGUACGUGAACCGCGCCCGGGAGCUCGGCGUCGACCCCGCCGCGCCGGCGGACGUCGGCCGGAGCAUGGCGUACGGCAACUGCGCCGUCGCGAGCCCGUCAUGACCAAAUCGCGGAGUAAAUUAGUUUUGUACUGUAGAAACAAACAAUUCUUUCGUUAGUCGGCAGGGUGUCGGUUCCAGGAAAAUAUCUCGUUUCCAUCUUCUCGUUUUCGUUUCGAUGCAUGUACAGGAAAAUCAUGUAUGUGUGCGUGACAUAAUUGAUCAGGCGAAGGCUCGAGUGUUUUGACCACAAUGUUUUGUUC
rnacentral:lncRNA from 1 species